rnacentral:tRNA from 1 species
GUAUGAAAGGUAGCCUAGUGGACAAGGCAUCUGCCCGGUAAGCGGAAGGUCGUGGGUUCGAUUCCCGCCCCUGGACA